ACUUUGACAGAAAGGGGAUCCCCCUACUCAAAAAAGCAUAAAUAUUAGAUGGUAAAGUUAAUAAGAAGAAAGCAAGAAAACUAAAUGAACAAUGGAAAAGUUAAAAGCUUUUCACAAUUUAUCAAACGAAUAAGACCCUCGCACCCUUGCUCUCACAAUUAUUAAAGGCAUAAGAACCUCACACCAUUGCUCUCCACCAUAUAUAAAAAAAGCGAAGUUCAGAAGGACAUCCUAUUUGAAAUGAAAAACGUUACCAUGAACAUUAUACUCCAAAUCAAACAAUUCAUCAGUUCCAUACUUUUGUUGGUUGCCCAAAAACAGAUAUGGUGAAAGCAUAAACAUACAGUAUUGUCUAAUGGCUCCACUGUGACUAUUAGUGUUUAUGACACCAUUUGUAGAUAAAGUUAAGACAUAUGUUAAAGGCCCAACAAUUUAACUAAAAUCUCUCAUCAUAAAACCAAUCUUCUCAAUUGCAUUUCUGGAUUCAAUAUUACGCAUUCUACCAAAAUUUCACCUCCAUAAUCUGACAUUCAUUAAUUAAUGAAACUUAUUUAAGAAUAAAAAAAACCCAUUAUUCAGCGUCCAUGUCGAAUAUUCAGUUGCAGUUCAAUGUCCAUUCUAGUUUUCUAGAUGCUUCUUGUAAAUCUUCUCCAUCAUUAAUCAUCAUUAACUCACACACACGUAUAAUGUGAAUAGCACACGCGAAUAACCCUUUGGAUUACAUUAGUCUUUCUGUAUGUUAAAAGCCAAAAUCUCAAUGACCCACAUACCAAUCAAUCAAAAACUACAAUAAAAACACAAAGAACUCACAUAAAUAACUAACCAUAAACUUCUUGUCAAUUCACGAGCUCAAUUUUAAAUACUAACAACUAGUCAAAGAAGUAAAAACCCA
rnacentral:misc_RNA from 1 species